rnacentral:rRNA from 1 species
GGGGGGGGCAAGCGUUGUUCGGAAUUACUGGGCGUAAAGGGCUCGUAGGUGGCCAACUAAGUCAGACGUGAAAUCCCUCGGCUUAACCGGGGAACUGCGUCUGAUACUGGAUGGCUUGAGUUUGGGAGAGGGACGCGGAAUUCCAGGUGUAGCGGUGAAAUGCGUAGAUAUCUGGAGGAACACCGGUGGCGAAGGCGGCGUCCUGGACCAACACUGACACUGAGGAGCGAAAGCCAGGGGAGCAAACGGGAUUAGAUACCCCGGUAGUCCUGGCCCUAAACGAUGAAUGCUUGGUGUGGCGGGUAUCGAUCCCUGCCGUGCCGAAGCUAACGCAUUAAGCAUUCCGCCUGGGGAGUACGGUCGCAAGGCUG